UACGGCGAGUGAAGCGGCAAAAGCUCAAAUUUGAAAUCUAGCACCUUCGGUGUUUGAGUUGUAAUUUGAAGAUGGUAACCUUGGGUUUGGCUCUUGUCUAUGUUCCUUGGAACAGGACGUCAUAGAGGGUGAGAAUCCCGUCUGAUGAGAUGCCCAUUCCUAUGUAAGGUGCUAUCGAAGAGUCGAGUUGUUUGGGAAUGCAGCUCUAAGUGGGUGGUAAAUUCCAUCUAAAGCUAAAUAUUGGCGAGAGACCGAUAGCGAACAAGUACAGUGAUGGAAAGAUGAAAAGAACUUUGAAAAGAGAGUGAAAAAGUACGUGAAAUUGUUGAAAGGGAAGGGCAUUAGAUCAGACUUGGUGUUUUACGAUUAUCUUCUCUUCUUGAGUUGUGCACUCGUAUUUCACUGGGCCAGCAUCGAUUCGGAUGGCAAGAUAAUGGCAGUUGAAUGUGGCUUCACUUCGGUGGAGUGUUAUAGCUUCUGCUGAUAUUGCCUGUCUGGAUCGAGGGCUGCGUCUUUUGACUAGGAUGCUGGCGUAAUGAUCUAAUGCCGCCCGUCUUGAAACACGGACCAAGGAGUCUAACGUCUAUGCGAGUGUUUGGG
rnacentral:rRNA from 1 species